rnacentral:pre_miRNA from 1 species
AAUACUUGUCGCUUUGAGUUUUUGUUUGUAAUGUUUGAUCAUUUGUCUUGUUCAAAAAAAAAUUAUGAAACUAUUAUUUAUUUUGUUUGUAACUCGCUUUAUUAAAAAAUAUUUUAAGUAUGACUUAUCAUUUUUUGUAUUUGCACUAAUUUUUCAAAUAAGACAAAUGGUCAAACAUUACAAGUAAAAAGUCAAAGCGACCACUAAU